GGGCUUGUGGUUUAGUGGUAUAAUACUCCCUUAGCAUCUAAAUGGCUUCUCGCCACUAGGAAUUGGGAGUGGUCCGGGGUUCGAUUCCCCGCGAGUCCA